rnacentral:rRNA from 1 species
AAUGGGCGAAAGCCUGACGCAGCAAUGCCGCGUGAGUGAAGAAGGCCCUCGGGUCGUAAAGCUCUUUAUUUCGGGAAGAUGAUGACGGUACCGAAGGAAGAAGCACCGGCUAACUACGUGCCAGCAGCCGCGGUAAUACGUAGGGUGCAAGCGUUGUUCGGAAUCACUGGGCGUAAAGGGCGUGUAGGCGGAACGACUAGCGAGGGGUGAAAUCCCGGGGCUCAACCCCGGAACUGCUCUUCGAACUGUCGAUCUAGAGGAGGUCAGGGGCCGGCGGAAUUCCUGGUGUAGAGGUGAAAUUCGUAGAGAUCAGGAGGAACAUCGGAGGCGAAGGCGGCCGGCUGGGGCCAUUCUGACGCUGAGGCGCGAAAGCGUGGGGAGCAAACAGGAUU